AUAUGUAUGUAUAAAUGAAUAAAUAAAUCUGUGUUCGUAUGGAAUAGUAGCUAAUGUCGAGAAGCUGGCCUUAGUAUAAUGUGGCAUUCCCUUUAUCCUUUAAACGACAAGGAAUUUUUUGAUAAGACUUAAUAAGAAUGUUGACUUGCUAGUAUCGGAACUA